UGGCAGACAACAGUGGCGGAAAGAGACGAUUGAAGAACAUUUUGGUGCUCUAAGGACUGUGAACACAAACAAAAGAGGCGCAGAGCAAGUAAACGUCACCAGAGUGCCAAGACGGGCCACCAGCACCUGUGUGGGACGCGUGUACCUUUCCCGGCGCGCUGGUGACUGUAAAGAUCCGCCACUUGUACGCAGGGAUCCUUUUUGCUGUGACCUGUCCUCUGAGGUGGAGAUGGGCGGGACUCUUCACGACGCCACAACACAACAUGACUCGCCUGCAAGAAAUACUGAACUGCCUUGUGGAUGGACGACUCGCCAACGCUUUCUUCAGGUCCAUCGCUACCAGGAAUUCUGUACCAGCGCCACAAGAAAAGAAGCGACGUGCCAGGUCCUGCGAUGGAAUCCUGUGGAAUAUUCUCUCGGUUUAUACAAUAUGAUUAUGAUUUUUUUUUUAAUGUUAACGAAUUGCUUACAUAAGAUUCAGUUUUUCAUAUAUUUUUUAGUUCCCUUAAUUAAGAACCCACAGCAGCCUCGGUAAGAAAGGAUCUUGCCAUAAUGUAGAGAAUUCAUUUCUACAAAAGAUGUGGUGAAUAAUUAUUACAUAAUGAACGUAAUGAACGAAAAAAAUAAACCCUGCA
rnacentral:lncRNA from 1 species